UUCCGGAGAACCUAAUAGCACCUCCUGUUUUUGGUGGGGUUCGUGUUGCUUAGUUUUCUAUGUUGUGUCUUCUGUACUAUUAUUUGUCUGUUUGUCUCUUAUUUUUAGUCAUGGCGUUGUCAGUUUAUUUUCAAUCUAUGAGUUUGACUGUACCUCUGGUAUCUUUGGUACCUCUUUUAAAAUGAAUCAAACGAUUUUGGUCAAGUUGACUUAUUUUUAGAUCUUUUUUUGUUGAUCAUUAUUACCGUGCUUCAGUUUAUCUCUG
rnacentral:lncRNA from 1 species